rnacentral:lncRNA from 1 species
CAGUACUGAAAUCGUUCGAUGAGAAUUGCGCACGAUAGCAGUUACGCAGGGUUCGUGCGCGGCACGGAGAAGAGUAGAAGAAACCUUGGAGGAUCGGAAAUUGACAAUUUGGGAUGUACUAGUGGGUGAAGCUACGAAUCAUGUGCCAAUUAACAAUCCACUUCACAAAGGAAGCAAUCGGUAAACCCUUGUUUUUUUUAGAAGACUUUCUUUUAGUACUCCUUCUCGUUCGCUUUUAGAAGAAUUCUUU